CUAAGAAAGAAAUGGUUGAUGCAAAUAUGUUUGGUAUGAAAUUGAAAGGUUUUUACAACUGCAGACAUUGCAAGGCAUGCAAAACUACGGAUGUCAUCUCUAAAACGACAGAAAAAUUCUCAUCUAAUGUUACAAAAAAAGUUUCUUAUUAAUAAUUUUAUUACUUGCAAUACAAAUAAUGUCAUAUACCUUUUAACCUGCAAAUGUGGCCUACAAUAUGUUAGGAGGACCACUAGACCACUAAAAGUAAGAGUGUGUAAACAUUUGCGGAAUAUCCAAAACAAAGUUAUGACACAUUCAGUAUCUGCUCAUUUUAGUAAAAUCCAUAACUGUGAUUUAAAAAUGCUGCAUUUUAUUGGUAUACAAAAAGUAGGCAAACCAUGGGGAGGGGGAGACUUUUUGAAGAUCUUAACUAAAACAGAAAUGGAAUGGAUCUUCAGCCUUGGAAACCCUCUCUCCAUAUUGUCUUAACAUUUUGACAUGUGCAAUUACAUUUAGGGAAUGUUUUAAAAUUUAAAUAUGCAAUAUAUAUAGGUUAUUCAAUUUUUUAUGAGAUAAUAUAAUAUGCUCUUUAUGC